GACACCAUGGUCUAGCUGGUUAAGACAUCCAUAACAAGUUAUCGAAAGGAAAUAUCAUUAUUGUUUAUGGAAGGCAAGGGUUCGAAUCCCUCUGGUGUCA
rnacentral:tRNA from 2 species